UCGCCUGUUUUUCAAAAACAUUUCUAAUAGAAUUAAUUAUUAGUAAAAUCUGCUCAAUGAAAUUUAUAUAGCCGCAAUAUUAUUUUGUGCUAAGGUAGCAUAAUCAUUUGUCUUUUAAUUAAAGACUAGAACGAAAGAUAUUACAUUUAAAUUUCUUUUUAAAAUAAAAACUUUAAAAUUAUUUUAAAUGUAAAAAAACAUUUAUACAAAAAAUAGACGAUAAGACCCUAUUGAACUUCACAUUUGUUUAACUGGGGUAGUUAAUUAAAUAUAAUUUUAAUAAAAAUAAUAAAUUUAUUUCCCAAUAAAAUUGAUUUCAUCAAGUUACCAUAGGGAUAACAGCGUAAUAAUAUUUCAAAGACCUUAUUAAAAAAAUUGAUUACGACCUCGAUGUUGAAUUAAUUACCUUUAAAAUGCAAUUAUUUUAAUAAAGGAAGUCUGUUCGACUUUUAAUUAAUUACAUGAUCUGAGUUCCAAACCGGA
rnacentral:rRNA from 1 species